rnacentral:rRNA from 1 species
UUCUUUUUUCUUCGUUUUGGUCUUGCCUGCCGACGCUGAACCGCUUGAUGACGCGGGUUUACGCUUGCGCUUCGUCGCCUGGCAACACCGUACCAAUCAACAAGUCACACAGUGUGCACUGCAUGCAUGCUGGCACCAUGUGUUGUGACGACGCACCGGCUUGCGAGAUGUGGUGGACUUGGCGGCUGGCAGCGUCGGUU